GACGAGCCACCCAAACGUUAUUCGGAAUUACUGGGCUUAAAGGGUGCGUAGGCGGUGCGGAAAGUAGGGUGUGAAAGCCCUCGGCUCAACCGAGGAAUAGCGCUCUAAACUACCGUGCUUGAGGGAGACAGAGGUAAGCGGAACUUCGGGUGGAGCGGUGAAAUGCGUUGAUAUCGGAAGGAACGCCGGUGGCGAAAGCGGUCCGCUGGCCCUCUACUGACGCUGAGGCGCGAAAGCCAGGGGAGCAAACAGGG
rnacentral:rRNA from 1 species